UACGUAGGGGCGAGCGUUGUCCGGAUUUACUGGGCGUAAAGGGUGAGUAGGCGGUUAUAUAUGUCAGGUGUAAAAGACAAUGGCUCAACCAUUGUUAGCACUUGAAACUGUAUGACUUGAGUGCAGGAGAGGUAAGCGGAAUUCCUAGUGUAGCGGUGAAAUGCGUAGAUAUUAGGAGGAACACCAGUGGCGAAGGCGGCUUACUGGACUGUAACUGACGCUGAGACACGAAAGCGUGGGUAGCAAACAGGAUUAGAUACCCCUGUA
rnacentral:rRNA from 1 species